GAUGAACGCUGGCUACAGGCUUAACACAUGCAAGUCGAGGGGAAACGACGGGGAAGCUUGCUUCCCCGGGCGUCGACCGGCGCACGGGUGAGUAACGCGUAUCCAACCUGCCUCUGACUGAGGGAUAACCCGUCGAAAGUCGGCCUAAUACCUCAUGGUAUCGUCUGCGGGCAUCCAACGACGAUUAAAGAUUUCAUCGGUCAGGGAUGGGGAUGCGUCUGAUUAGCUUAUUGGCGGGGUAACGGCCCACCAAGGCUACGAUCAGUAGGGGUUCUGAGAGGAAGGUCCCCCACAUUGGAACUGAGACACGGUCCAAACUCCUACGGGAGGCAGCAGUGAGGAAUAUUGAUCAAUGGGCGAGAGCCUGAACCAGCCAAGUAGCGUGCAGGAAGACGGCCCUAUGGGUUGUAAACUGCUUUUAUGCGGGGAUAAAGUGAGGGACGUGUCCCUCAUUGCAGGUACCGCAUGAAUAAGGACCGGCUAAUUCCGUG
rnacentral:rRNA from 1 species